rnacentral:rRNA from 1 species
ACUCCUACGGGAGGCAGCAGUGGGGAAUAUUGCACAAUGGGCGAAAGCCUGAUGCAGCCAUGCCGCGUGUGUGAAGAAGGCCUUCGGGUUGUAAAGCACUUUCAGUCAGGAGGAAAGGGUGUGAGUUAAUACCUCACAGCUGUGACGUUACUGACAGAAGAAGCACCGGCUAACUCC